rnacentral:rRNA from 1 species
UACGUAGGCAGCGAGCGUUGUUCGGAGUUACUGGGCGUAAAGGGUGUGUAGGCGGUUGUUUAAGUUUGGUGUGAAAUCUCCCGGCUCAACUGGGAGGGUGCGCCGAAUACUGAAUGACUUGGAGUGCGGGAGAGGUGAGUGGAAUUCCUGGUGUAGCGGUGAAAUGCGUAGAUAUCAGGAGGAACACCGGUGGUGUAGACGGCUCACUGGACCGUAACUGACGCUGAGACACGAAAGCAUGGGUAGCAAACAGG